GUGAAAGCCCAGCUUGCUGGGUGGAUCAGUGGCGAACGGGUGAGUAACACGUGAGCAAUCUGCCCCUGACUCUGGGAUAAGCGCUGGAAACGGCGUCUAAUACUGGAUACGAGCUGCGAUCGCAUGGUCAGUAGCUGGAAAGAUUUUUUGGUCAGGGAUGAGCUCGCGGCCUAUCAGCUUGUUGGUGAGGUAAUGGCUCACCAAGGCGUCGACGGGUAGCCGGCCUGAGAGGGUGACCGGCCACACUGGGACUGAGACACGGCCCAGACUCCUACGGGAGGCAGCAGUGGGGAAUAUUGCACAAUGGGCGCAAGCCUGAUGCAGCAACGCCGCGUGAGGGAUGACGGCCUUCGGGUUGUAAACCUCUUUUAGCAGGGAAGAAGCGAAAGUGACGGUACCUGCAGAAAAAGCGCCGGCUAACUACGUGCCAGCAGCCGCGGUAAUACGUAGGGCGCAAGCGUUAUCCGGAAUUAUUGGGCGUAAAGAGCUCGUAGGCGGUUUGUCGCGUCUGCUGUGAAAUCCCGAGGCUCAACCUCGGGUCUGCAGUGGGUACGGGCAGACUAGAGUGCGGUAGGGGAGAUUGGAAUUCCUGGUGUAGCGGUGGAAUGCGCAGAUAUCAGGAGGAACACCGAUGGCGAAGGCAGAUCUCUGGGCCGUAACUGACGCUGAGGAGCGAAAGGGUGGGGAGCAAACAGGCUUAGAUACCCUGGUAGUCCACCCCGUAAACGUUGGGAACUAGUUGUGGGGUCCAUUCCACGGAUUCCGUGACGCAGCUAACGCAUUAAGUUCCCCGCCUGGGGGAGUACGGCCGCAAGGCUAAAACUCAAAGGAAUUGACGGGGACCCGCACAAGCGGCGGAGCAUGCGGAUUAAUUCGAUGCAACGCGAAGAACCUUACCAAGGCUUGACAUACACCAGAACACCGUAGAAAUACGGGACUCUUUGGACACUGGUGAACAGGUGGUGGCAUGGUUGUCGUCAGCUCGUGUCCUGAGAAUGUUGGGGUUAAGUCCCGCAACGAGCGCAACCCUCGUUCUAUGUUG
rnacentral:rRNA from 1 species